UCCUACGGGGGGCAGCAGUGGGGAAUAUUGGGCAAUGGGCGCAAGCCUGACCCAGCGACGCCGCGUGAGGGAUGAAGGCCUUCGGGUUGUAAACCUCUUUCAGUAGGGAAGAAGCGAAAGUGACGGUACCUAAAGAAGAAGCACCGGCUAACUAUGUGCCAGCAGCCGCGGUAAUACGUAGGUGGCAAGCGUUGUCCGGAUUUACUGGGCGUAAAGCGCGCGCAGGCGGUGAAUGAAGUCGAAAGUGAAAGCCCCGGGCUCAACUCGGGAACAGCUUUCGAAACCAGUUCACUUGAAGAUGGAAGAGGGAAGUGGAAUUCCGAGUGUAGCGGUGGAAUGCGCAGAUAUUCGGAGGAACACCAGAGGCGAAGGCGACUUCCUGGUCCAAUCUUGACGCUGAGGCGCGAAAGCUAGGGGAGCAAACAGGAUUAGAUAUCCUGGUAGUCCUAGCUGUAAACGAUGGGCACUAACUUGGGGUCUCCCUGUGUGAUCCCAGGUGUAGCAAAAGUGAUAAGUGCCCCGCCUGGGGAGUAUGGUCGCAAGGCUGAAACUCAAAGGAAUUGACGGG
rnacentral:rRNA from 1 species